rnacentral:rRNA from 1 species
GUGUCAGCAGCCGCGGUAAUACGGAGGAUGCAAGCGUUAUCCGGAUUUAUUGGGUUUAAAGGGUGCGUAGGCGGAAUUGUAAGUCAGUGGUGAAAUCUUGCAGCUUAACUGUAAAAUAGCCAUUGAUACUGCGAUUCUUGAGUACAAUUGAGGUAGGCGGAAUGUGUAAUGUAGCGGUGAAAUGCUUAGAUAUUACACAGAACACCGAUUGCGUAGGCAGCUUACUAAGUUGUAACUGACGCUGAUGCACGAAAGCGUGGGUAGCGAACAGGAUUAGAUACCCUCGUAGUCC